rnacentral:rRNA from 1 species
AUUGAACGCUGGCGGCAGGCCUAACACAUGCAAGUCGAACGAGUGGCGGACGGGUGAGUAAUGUCUGGGAAACUGCCUGAUGGAGGGGGAUAACUACUGGAACCGGUAGCUAAUACCGCAUACCAUCGGAUGUGCCCAGAUGGGAUUAGCUAGUAGGUGGGGUAAAGGCUCACCAAGGCGACGAUCCCUAGCUGGUCUGAGAGGCUGACCGGCCACACUGGGACUGAGACACGGUCCAGACUCCUACGGGAGGCAGCAGUGGGGAAUAUUGCACAAUGGGCGCAAGCCUGAUGCAGCCAUGCCGCGUGUAUGAAGAAGGCCUUCGGGUUGUAAAACACUGUCGGUAGGGAGGCGUUAUCCGCAGAAGAAGCACCGGCUAACUACGUGCCAGCAGCCGCGGUAAUAC